rnacentral:lncRNA from 1 species
AAAGUAAAGAUAUUGUGUCUACCUAAAACUAAAAAUUAAAUAUUAAAAAAAAUAUAUAUAUAUAUAUACAUAUGUGUGUGUGUGUGUAUAUAUAUAUAUAUAUAUAUAUAUAUAGAGAGAGAGAGAGAGAGAGAGAGAGAGAGAGCGUGCGCUUGCCCGUGCGCGCUCUAAGGGUACAACUUAGUACUUUAGCACCCCUCAGUUCAAUCCCUGAUACCAAAAAAAGAAAUACAAAUGGCCAACAAAUAAAUGAAAAAAUGUUCAACAUCCUUAGCGAUCAGGAAAAUGUAAACCAAAACUAUAUUGAGAUUUCAUCUCACUCCAGUUAUAAUGGCAAUUAUCAAGAAUAAAUAACAGGGCUGGGUUUGUGGCUCAUCGGUAGAGCGCUCACCUAGCACGGGCAAGGCCCUGGGUUCGAUCCUCAGCACCACACAAAAUAAAUAAAUUAAUUAAAGAUAUUGUAUCCAACUACAACUAAAAAAUAAAUAUUAAAAAAAGAAUAAAAUAACAAUAAUUGGUGAGGAUGUGGGGGAAAAGGUACACCUACACAUUGUUGGUGGGACAGAAAAUUAGUAUAACCAUUUUGGAAAGCAAUACCGAGAUUCCUCAAAAGGCUACUAGGAAUGGUUAUGUGCAGUGGUACAUGCCUGUAAUGUCAGCAGUAUGGGAGGCUCGGGUAGGAGGAUCCCAAGUUCCUCAAGCCCAGCCUCAGCAGUUUAGAAAGCCCAUUAGCAAUUUAGUGAGACCAUAUCUCAAAAUAAAGAAAUAAAAAGGGCUGGGAAUGUAGCUCAUUGAUACAGCACCCCUGGGCUCAAUCCCCAGCACUGCCCCAAAAAUAAAUAAAAUUACCAUACUAUAGGGAUAUAUACAUACCAAUGUUUAUAGCAGCACAAUUCACAAUAGCCAAGUUAUUAAACCAGCCUAGGUCAACAGACUAGUGGCUAAGAAAAUGUGGCAUAUAUACACAAUAGAGUUUUAUUCAGUCAUAAAGAAUGAAAUUAUGUCAUUUGAAUGUAAAUGGAUGGAACUAGAGAAACUCAUGCCAAAUGAAAUAAGUCAGAAUGAGAAAGUCAUUUGCAGGAGCUAGGGAAAGGUGGGGGAUGGCUGGGGUUGUGGCUCAGUGGCAAAGCGCUUGCCUAGCAUGUGUGAGGCACUGGGUUCAAUUCUCAGCACCACAUAAAAAUAAACAAAGGUCCAUUGACAACUAAAAACAUUUAAAAAAGAAAAAGGUGAGGGAAGGAAUAAUAAAAAAGGGAAUUUCACAAAAAUAGAAGGAAGACCAAUAGAGUAAAGGAAGGGGACUGAGAGGGAUGGAGGAAAGAAGGACAUGGGGAAGUAUGGGGAAUGAAAUCUAGCAAAUUAUGCCAUAUCCAUGUUCCACAGGGAAUCAUAU